CUAAAUCAAUUCUUCUUAGUGUCCUAAUGUACUUUAAUCAUUAGGUGAUGACUCUUCAAUUCAAAACCCAAUUCCCAAAAGGGAACGAGUUGUCCUCCAAAAUGUCAUAAACCCGAUUUCGCGAGAAAAAGGGGGAUGCGACAACAUGGUGACUCACCUGGGGAUUUCUUUUAGGCUUUUACCAUUUCAUGUUAUUUGUGACAUUAGUGCUUCUUUAAUGCAUUUAUUUAAUGUCUUUAUCUCUUCUUCUACUACAAAACCGACUUGGCUCUUCGUUUCUUUUAUUUAUUUUAACACUUUCCUUUACCACUUUCCUUCAAUACUAUUGUAAAUUAUGAGAAACCAUUGUAAUUAUUAAUUUGUAAAUGUGGAAAUAUGCGACAAUUUGUUUAAUUAUUGUAACUGCACCUUCU
rnacentral:lncRNA from 1 species